CCUACGGGUGGCAGCAGUGGGGGAUAUUGCACAAUGGGGGGAACCCUGAUGCAGCGACGCCGCGUGUGGGAAGACGGUCCUCUGGAUUGUAAACCACUGUCCCCAGGGACGAAGAUGGCGGUACCGGGGGAGGAAGCUCCGGCUAACUACGUGCCAGCAGCCGCGGUAAUACGGAGGGAGAGAGCGUUGUACGGAAUUACUGGGUGUAAGGGGGGCGUAGGCGGGGAUGCAAGUUGGGGGUCAAAACUACCGGCUCAACUGGUAGUCGCACUCAAAACUGCAGCUCUUGAGUGAAGUAGAGGCAGGCGGAAUUCCUAGUGUAGCGGUGAAAUGCGUAGAUAUCACGAAGAACUCCGAUUGCGAAGGCAGCUUACUAAACUGCCACUGACAUUGAUGCUCGAAAGUGUGGGUAUCAAACAGGAUUAGAUACCCUUGUAGUC
rnacentral:rRNA from 1 species